rnacentral:rRNA from 1 species
UACGGGGGGGCAAGCGUUGUUCGGAAUUACUGGGCGUAAAGGGCUCGUAGGUGGCCAACUAAGUCAGACGUGAAAUCCCCAGGCUCAACUUGGGAACUGCGUCUGAUACUGGAUGGCUUGAAUUCGGGAGAGGGAUGCAGAAUUCCAGGUGUAGCGGUGAAAUGCGUAGAUAUCUGGAGGAAUACCGGUGGCGAAGGCGGCAUCCUGGACCGAGAUUGACACUGAUGAGCGAAAGCUAGGGAGCAACGGG